UGUUUUGGUUUGGUAUGGUUGGAAGUUGGAACUGUAUUAGCUUGCCAGAGGGAAUUCARAGGAAACCAGAAUGUUUUCCCAAAGAGAAGCAAACAAAGAUCUUUGGCUGGCACUGACCUGYGGCUGGAGGUAAAAUGUGCAGGAGGAGCAGAGAUGCUGCUCAGCAUUUGAGCACCAUGAGAGCAACAUGUGACUGUGCUGGCAGAAGGUACAGGAGACCUCCUGCAAUAGAGGAGAUAAUGCUGCAAAGAGAGUAGACUGCUGCAAGGCAAUCCUUAAARAUUUGACCAGCUCCAACAAGGAAGACAUCAAUCAGAUCUCAUUUG